ACGGAAGGCAGCAGUGGGGAAUAUUGCACAAUGGGGGAAACCCUGAUGCAGCAACGCCGCGUGAGUGAAGAAGUAUCUCGGUAUGUAAAGCUCUAUCAGCAGGGAAGAAAAAAGACGGUACCUGACUAAGAAGCACCGGCUAAAUACGUGCCAGCAGCCGCGGUGAUACGUAUGGUGCAAGCGUUAUCCGGAUUUACUGGGUGUAAAGGGAGCGCAGGCGGUACGGCAAGUCUGAUGUGAAAGCCCGGGGCUCAACCCCGGUACUGCAUUGGAAACUGUCGAACUAGAGUGUCGGAGGGGUAAGCGGAAUUCCUAGUGUAGCGGUGAAAUGCGUAGAUAUUAGGAGGAACACCAGUGGCGAAGGCGGCUUACUGGACGAUAACUGACGCUGAGGCUCGAAAGCGUGGGGAGCAAACAGGAUUAGAUACCCUGGUA
rnacentral:rRNA from 1 species